CCCCUUCUAAAAAGCACUUGCUGGGUCUGUGCUCAGUGGCUUCGCGAGUUGUCGUGGAAGGGGAUAGCAAAACCUCACUUUUGGGUGAGGUUAGCAGCAGAGUGUGCUGUUAACUUCAAUGAGUGGCGUGACAGUC
ensembl:snoRNA small nucleolar RNA, H/ACA box 21B